rnacentral:misc_RNA from 1 species
CCCUUGUGGAGGAGGACGCCGAAGGUGGGGCUAAUGACUGGGGUGAAGUCGUAACAAGGUAGCCGUACCGGAAGGUGCGGCUGGAUCACCUCCUAACAGGGAGACAACAAAAUGUUUAAUAUUAUUAUUUUGUCACCUUAGGUCGAUCGGUACCUCACUUUCUUAAUUUAUUAAGAAUUUCAUUUCCUAAGUUUUUCUAGGUCACACCCAUUAUUUUUCCUGGGCCAUUAGCUCAGGUGGUUAGAGCGCACCCCUGAUAAGGGUGAGGUCCCUGGUUCAAGUCCAGGAUGGCCCAUAUCUCUAUGUUGGGGGUAUAGCUCAGUUGGUAGAGCGCCUGCUUUGCAAGCAGGAUGUCAGCGGUUCGAGUCCGCUUACCUCCACUGAUUACCACCUCUUCCAUAAUUCUGAAGAAAGGAAAUUUUUUGAGUUGUGAUCAAUUCUGAACGAAUCUAGCUUCCUAAUGUAAAUAUUAAGAUGCUGGACUCAUUGAAUUAAAUUCAUUGUUUUCAGAGAACCUUGACAACUGCAUAGAUUAUUUUUAAAGACAAUAAGCAUCUUUAGUGAUGCAGAUUUUUAUUUGUGCGAAUGCAUUAAUAACAAUUCUAUUAAGCUGAUGCUUCAAUUUUGAAGUUAUUGGUCAAGCUACAAAGGGCUCACGGAGGAUACCUAGGCACACAGAGGCGAU